rnacentral:rRNA from 1 species
GGAAAAGAAACCAACAGGGAUUGCCUCAGUAACGGCGAGUGAAGCGGCAACAGCUCAAAUUUGAAAUCUGGCUCCUUUCGGGGUCCGAGUUGUAAUUUGUAGAGGGUGCUUCGGUGGAAGCCCCGGCCCAAGUCCCUUGGAACAGGACGUCAGAGAGGGUGAGAACCCCGUGUCCGGCCGGUGGCGCUCCCCGCGUGAAGCCCCUUCGACGAGUCGAGUUGUUUGGGAAUGCAGCUCUAAAUUGGUGGUAAAUUCCAUCUAAAGCUAAAUACCGGCCAGAGACCGAUAGCGCACAAGUAGAGUGAUCGAAAGAUGAAAAGCACUUUGAAAAGAGAGUCAAAAAGUACGUGAAAUUGUUGAAAGGGAAGCGCUUGCGGCCAGACUUGCCCGCGGAUGUUCAGCCCGUCUUCUGGCGGGUGCACUCUUCCGCGGUCAGGCCAGCAUCGGUUUGGGCGGCCGGACAAAGGCUCGGGGAACGUGGCCCCCUUCGGGGGGUGUUAUAGCCCCGGGUGCAAUGCGGCCAGCCUGGACCGAGGACCGCGCUCUGCUAGGAUGCUGGCGUAAUGGCCGUAAGCGGCCCGUCUUGAAACACGGACCAAGGAGUCUAACAUCUAUGCGAGUGUUUGGGUGUCAAACCCGUGCGCGUAAUGAAAGUGAACGGAGGUGGGAACCUUAGGGUGCACCAUCGACCGAUCCUGAUGUCUUCGGAAGGAUUUGAGUAAGAGCAUAGCUGUUGGGACCCGAAAGAUGGUGAACUAUGCCUAGAUAGGGUGAAGCCAGAGGAAACUCUGGUGGAGGCUCGCAGCGGUUCUGACGUGCAAAUCGAUCGUCAAAUCUGGGUAUAGGGGCGAAAG